rfam:Myotis brandtii contig170362, whole genome shotgun sequence.
GGCAGUUCUCGGGUGAUGCAUCCCAGAAGUGAGCUCCCCCCUCUCUGGUUCUGGGUGCGUCACCUGAGAACUGCC